rnacentral:rRNA from 1 species
ACGGAAGGCAGCAGUGGGGAAUAUUGCACAAUGGGGGAAACCCUGAUGCAGCGACGCCGCGUGAGUGAAGAAGUAUUUCGGUAUGUAAAGCUCUAUCAGCAGGGAAGAAAAUGACGGUACCUGACUAAGAAGCCCCGGCUAACUACGUGCCAGCAGCCGCGGUAAUACGUAGGGGGCAAGCGUUAUCCGGAUUUACUGGGUGUAAGGGGAGUGUAGGUGGUUUGGCAAGCCAGAUGUGAAAGCCCGGGGCUCAACCCCGCGGACUGCAUUUGGAACUGUUAAACUUGAGUGCAGGAGAGGAAAGUGGAAUUCCUAGUGUAGCGGUGAAAUGCGUAGAUAUUAGGAGGAACACCAGUGGCGAAGGCGGCUUUCUGGACUGUAACUGACACUGAGGCUCGAAAGCGUGGGGAGCAAACAGGAUUAGAUACCCUGGUA